rnacentral:rRNA from 1 species
AUUGAACGCUGGCGGCAUGCCUUACACAUGCAAGUCGAACGGUAACAGGCCGCAAGGUGCUGACGAGUGGCGAACGGGUGAGUAAUGCAUCGGAACGUGCCCAGUUGUGGGGGAUAACUGCUCGAAAGAGCAGCUAAUACCGCAUACGAUCUCAGGAUGAAAGCAGGGGACCGCAAGGCCUUGCGCUCACGGAGCGGCCGAUGGCAGAUUAGGUAGUUGGUGGGAUAAAAGCUUACCAAGCCGACGAUCUGUAGCUGGUCUGAGAGGACGACCAGCCACACUGGGACUGAGACACGGCCCAGACUCCUACGGGAGGCAGCAGUGGGGAAUUUUGGACAAUGGGCGCAAGCCUGAUCCAGCCAUGCCGCGUGCAGGAUGAAGGCCUUCGGGUUGUAAACUGCUUUUGUACGGAACGAAAAGACUCCUUCUAAUAAAGGGGGUCCAUGACGGUACCGUAAGAAUAAGCACCGGCUAACUACGUGCCAGCAGCCGCCGUAAGAC